AUCAAUAAGCGGAGGAAAAGAAACCAACAGGGAUUGCCCCAGUAACGGCGAGUGAAGCGGCAACAGCUCAAAUUUGAAAUCUGGCCCUCGGGUCCGAGUUGUAAUUUGUAGAGGAUGCUUUUGGCGAGGUGCCUUCCGAGUUCCCUGGAACGGGACGCCAUAGAGGGUGAGAGCCCCGUCUGGUCGGACACCGAGCCUCUGUAAAGCUCCUUCGACGAGUCGAGUAGUUUGGGAAUGCUGCUCAAAAUGGGAGGUAUAUGUCUUCUAAAGCUAAAUAUUGGCCAGAGACCGAUAGCGCACAAGUAGAGUGAUCGAAAGAUGAAAAGCACUUUGAAAAGAGGGUUAAAAAGUACGUGAAAUUGUUGAAAGGGAAGCGCCUAUGACCAGACUUGAGCCCGGUGAAUCAUCCAGCGUUCUCGCUGGUGCACUUUGCCGGGCCCAGGCCAGCAUCAGUUUGGCGCGGGGGAUAAAGGUGACGGGAAUGUGGCUCCCUCGGGAGUGUUAUAGCCCGCUACGUAAUACCCUGCGCCGGACUGAGGUACGCGCAUUGCAAGGAUGCUGGCGUAAUGGUCAUCAGCGACCCGUCUUGAAACACGGACCAAGGAGUCGUCUUCGUAUGCGAGUGUUCGGGUGUCAAACCCCUACGCGUAAUGAAAGUGAACGCAGGUGAGAGCUUCGGCGCAUCAUCGACCGAUCCUGAUGUUCUCGGAUGGAUUUGAGUAAGAGCAUACGGGGCCGGACCCGAAAGAAGGUGAACUAUGCCUGUAUAGGGUGAAGCCAGAGGAAACUCUGGUGGAGGCUCGCAGCGGUUCUGACGUGCGAAUCGAUCGUCAAAUAUGGGCAUGGGGGCGAAAGACUAAUCGAACCUUCUAGUAGCUGGUUUC
rnacentral:rRNA from 1 species